UUUACCUCCACAGCAAAGGUAUGUUUUAGUGUACGUGGUGCCAAACAGGUAGUACUUUGUGAGUUCCUGCUCCUCACCACAAGGUGGUGCUAGUGUAUCCAAUAAGACAGUUUACUCAGCGACUGAAUCAAAAAUCCUCUUCCUUUCAGCCCUAAUUUAUGACCAGGAUUUACAACCCGUUUCCGUAACUUUACCUUUCCUAAGCCAUCAAUUCUGUUUCUCUUUUAAAGAUUCUCUUCUUAUGAAACUUUUUUUUUUGAGGGUUAAGUUGGCUUAGUGACAAAUUCAUGCCUACAUUUUGAAUUAUUGACUGUGGAUAUCCUCAGGGCUGGACUCUUCAUUCCUGCCUUGUGUGACCCAGGGAUGGAGGACUAUACUUCCAACUCAUUAUCCUCUUUGCCCAGGAGCUGUGUGAGACAGAUGGUCAUGCAGUGGAGAAUAAACAAGGACCCUUUAAUCCAGCUGGUGCUCUGCUUGUCUCACUUGUGGUGUUGGAUGCAUUCGGCUAACAGUGGGAAUCCAGGGGACUGUGUGGUAAGGAUGAGUGGGGUCAUAUACUGGGCUGCCUUUUUUCCCAGUACAUAGUGGAAUGGCCAUGCAAGUUGUUAAAACACUAAAAUAUUUUUGCACUCGUUGAUAAAUAGCAACUGGUUAGGUCCCCUUAACACUAAGCUGUUCCCGUCACCCACCACCCUGGAUUCCUGUGUCCCAGCUCUGGGGUAUUUGGACCUGCCUUCCCACAUCCAGUUGGAUUGAUACCUGGUACAAAAAGAAGCCUUAGGACUUCUGUUACUGCUUUUUAAAACCACUUGUAUCUAUUUGUUUUUAUCCUAUAUGCAACCCAACUAAUUCUUAUAUAUAUUAGAAUAGUAGUUGUUUUAGUCCACUUUGCAUUCCCAUAAAGGAAUACCUGAGACUGGGUAAUUUAUAAAGAAAAGAGGUUUGUUUGGUUCACAGUUCUGGAGGCUGUACAAGCAU